ACAGAGGGGGCAAGCGUUAUUCGGAAUUAUUGGGCGUAAAGGGCGCGUAGGCGGCUUUGCAAGUGGCGGGUGAAAUCCCUCGGCUUAACCGAGGAACUGCCUGUCAAACUGCAUGGCUUGAGACCAGGAGAGGUGAGUGGAAUUCCCAGUGUAGCGGUGAAAUGCGUAGAUAUCGGGAGGAACGCCGGUGGCGAAAGCGACUGUCUGGGGUGCCUGUGACGCUGAGGCGCGAAAGCCAGGGGAUCAAACGGGA
rnacentral:rRNA from 1 species